rnacentral:rRNA from 1 species
AUGGACCUGACUUACAAGCUGAUCUACUCCGGUGUGGCGGCCAGCAUUGGGACCGUCGUAUACUACUUAACACCCGCGUUGGAGUACCUGUGGUAUGAGAUGUUGCAUAAGCUUGCUGAGCGUGAGAGGGAGCAGGAGGAGGAGGCAGCACGCGCUGAGGCUGAGACAAACAAGCCACCGAAGGAGGAGGAGGGCAGCGGGACUAACAAGCCACCCAAGGAGGAGGAGGGCAGCGGGACUGACAAGCCACCCAAUGAGGAGGAGGUCGGAGGGCCUAAGCAGUCACUGAAGGUGGAGGAUGAUGGAGGGGUGAAUGCCAAAUCACCCAAGGAGGAGGAGAAGCACGGCAAGGCAGCCGAGCCACCAAAGAAAUGGGGCUUCUUUGGCUUGUGA